rnacentral:lncRNA from 1 species
ACAACCCUCUAUGUGAUUUCCUGAAAGCAAUAUAUGAGGCCUGCAAGAAAGUGAUCAUAUAAUUGUAUCUUCACUUUCUUUUUAUUUUUGUAUUACGUUAGGGUGCAUUGUCAUGCGUAUUUUUGGUAGAAUAAAUUCUCCUUUGCUAUAAGUAGCUUUCUUAUUUUUUUCCUCCCCCUCUUUCUCAAGGCUCAUAACAGUUUCUUUUUCCUCUUUUAGUCUAACUUGGUAAAUAAAAUUCUGGUCACAAUCCACUUUCUUUUCCAAUUUUAAUAUAUUUAUUGAAUGGGCAUAUUCAAAGUCUUCAACAGACAGAAACAGCAACAAUAAGGAAAGCCAGAAAAGGGUUAGGGCUUCUGAGAAGUG